AAGCACUAGUACACUAGAUCCGUGGUGUGGAUGAUCAGUGGUGGUCAGGUGGUGUUCAAUUCAAUUUAUAUUCUUGGAUUCUGAAGUUCCGUGGUGGAGAUGAUCACUUUGAGUUUCCAUGGAUACCAUGGGGAUAUAUUGGUUAGAGAGAAGUGAUUUGGGGAUGAUGUGGUGUUUGGAGGAGAAGUUUCAAUGGAUUAGGUCUUCAUUUAAAGUGAUGGGGAUGAUGAUGUGUUGUGAGGGAGGGCUUCAGAGUGAACCCGCAAGAGAUGGCGUGUCGUGACUAGAGGAGAUGAUGUGUUGUUGGCACAGUACUACCUUGGGGUUUUAACGGUUCUGAUUCAAGACUAUAACAGGUGAACAGUGAAAGUGAUGAGUGUUGUUGGUUGGGGCUAACAACACAAACAUCGGUGGUUUCUAGUUGUUGAUUUCCUUAUUCAGGGAGUCAUUGGUGGGGAAAGAGUAUGAAAAUGGAGUUGCAUGAUUCUUUGUGGUUGUUUCUGUUGGAGAAGGAUUAACUUGUUGGUAUUAUAGUCUUUGCCAUUCUUAUCAUUUGAGGAUUUGAUUUUGGUUUUUCUCUUGGUUUAUUGAGAUCAUCAGAGAGAAUUGUUUAGAUCAUCUAAUAGUAGCCAGGGCCUUUUCUUUGUAGUUUGAGCAAUGGUUGAUCGAUUCUCUUUCAUGUCAAGCUGCUUUUUAUUUUUCAAUUUAUUGAUGCUAUUGUUAAUUUUUUUAUGUAUUGAUUGUAUUUUGCAUCACUCCAUAUUUGAAAUUGUUCUAAUUUGUGUAAGUUAUAUUGCCCUGUUUGAUUUUGUUGGGUAUCUUCUAGUGUUUUGGAACUUCAAGGUUGUAGCCACUUAUAAGGCCAAAAUCAGUAGUGGAUAUUUUGGCCUUAGAAUUUUAAGUUUGUUACUACUAGAGAAGGUUUAUAUACCACUAAUCAAAGCAUGUUUUCAGCAAGAGUUGUUUUCAUAUUUUUGGUAUAUUUAUUUUUUGAAUGUUCAAAUUUCAAAUUUGUAUUUAUCAAUAAAGCAAAAGUAGGUUAACUUAAAAUCUAGUAGAGAGUUUUUUUUCUUGUUCCAGAGGGGUUUGACAUUAGUACAAAACAUUUGUGGAUUUAUCUCAGUGAUAUAUGUUUCUAAUUUGAUCUAUAUGUUGUCAUUUUUAAUUUGUAGUUGUUGAAGUUGGUUCAUGGUGCUUGUUUACAGUUGGAACUCCCUUUCUUUUGAACCGAGUAUCUUCCAAAGGGGGUUUCCACAUUACUAAACAAAAUGUGAUUUCAUUACUACAAAUUGUUCUCUAUUUUGAUGUAUUUAUUGUUGGUGUUUUUGAACUUUGGUUAUCUAGUUGUCUGUGAGGCAGAAGUUGGUUUUUAGAGCUUGUGUUUUAUUGGAAUUUAAGGUAUCUUUAGUUUUAAAAUUUGGUGUCUUCUAAAGGGUUUUCAUAUUACUAAACAAAAAUUGAUCUCAUUGCAAUAAAGUUUUUUAUUUUGAUGUACUUAUUCAUUGUUGAUAUUUUGGACUUCAAGUGUCUAGUUCUCUUUCUUUCUUUCUUUCUUUCUUUUUUUUUUUUUUCUUUUUUUUUUUUGGAUCUUCCACUCUAUCAAAAUCAGGGGUUUUUUAGUUCUAAAACUUGGUACCUUUCCAAGGAAGUUUAUUAUAGGACCUAGUAUCUUUCAACCUCUUGAUUUAAUUAACUUGAAAAUUUUGAUUUUCCUAUCUUUAGGAAUUGAGAAUUAUUGACUAUGGUGGUUACAUUCGAUAUGUAGCUUGUAAGUUGGUUGUUUUUUUUAAACUAUCUUAUUUCUUGUUCAUUUAGUUAUCUGCAUUUUUAAAGCACUUCCUCAUAAUAUGGUAUUUAUGUGGCUUUUUAUAUAGGGUGUAGAGUCAUUGUUGAUGCUGGAUGUUUUUCUUCUUUAGGUUAUUUAUAUUUUAUUGAUUUUAUGGAUAACAUUAUUUGGUUUUAUAAGUUGAGAAACAUUGGUUGUGGUAAGUUAGAAAUUUUUAAUUUGAUUAGGUCCUUUCCCUCAUUGUUUUUUUUUUUUUGAUGAAUUUUGAAGUUAUUAUGUGGCAUGGUUUUAUGUAGUAUGAUGUUGCUUUAGGGAUAUUUUUAGAAGGAGUGUUACCCUGCCCUGCACCUUUAUGGAACGAGAAUAUAAAUAAUAAUAAUUUAUUAUUUUUAAUAAUUUGUUGAAUUUGAAAUAAUUCUGAUUAGUGAUCUUGUUUUCUAGAUGAUGAAGGUAGUGCACAGGUGAUCUGUAUAAAUGUGUUGAUGAUUUGGGUAAUUGGAAAAUUAUAGAGAAUUGAUGAUAAACCAUUGUGAGUGAUGUUUUUAUAUAGUUCAAUGUUACUCAUGAAAAAUGGUUGUUUCUUUGAUGAGCUUUUUUAUAUGACUUUGUUUAUUAAUAUUUUUGUUCACCUAGUUUUUUUUCAUGCCUUUACAUUUGAUUCAAUGAGGAGGAUCAUGGGUGUUAACUAUUGAAGGAGGUCUACUUUAGUCAUACCUAUUAUUUGGUUUGAUUAAUGGUCAUUUUUGCCCAUGUUCUUAAUUGAUUAAUAGUCUUUAGGUAUCUUGGAUUCUAAAGGCUUUCAUUUGGUGUUUGGAGGAUCUAACUGAGGAUUUGAUCUUUUCGAAUGGGGGUCUUUGAAUCCUUUCACAUAUAUACUCCUUCUGAUUAUCGUUUGAUAUAUUUCUUUGGUUGAAAAUGUGUGUGAUAAUCUAGUUUUGUAGGAUAAAAUUCUGUACUUGAUUGAUCAAGAAAAUUGGAAAUUCCUUUAAUCUCUGAUGCUUUGCUUGCUGGCAAGAAGGCGUGUUGGCUUGCAAGAUUAUUUUACCAUUGUGUAAUUUGGUCUAUUAUGUUUGUAAUUUUGUAAUUCAUUGUUUUAGUUACCAUCAAGGGAAACAAAUCUUCUUUCAAAAAGUUGUUUUCAUAUUUUGAUCUAUUUAUUGUUGGUUUUCUUGAACUUAGGUGGUGUAGCUACUGAUGAGGGGUUAAUUUAAUUAAAUUGAGAACAUUGAUUUCUUUUUUCCAGGAUGCAAGGAUUGUUAACAAUGGUGGUACCUUAGAUAAGUAGCUUGUUCCAAUUCCCCUUCUCUCUCAGUUAGCCUUCUCUCAUGGUGUUAUUUAUGUUGUUUUUUAUUCUUUUUGUUCAUGUUUAGUGUUAUCUUCAGUACCUCCAUGGUCUGCGGUGGAAAAUUUUGUAGGGUUCGUUUAUUAAUUUGUUUUAUAUAUUGUCUUUGGCUGUAUAGACUCAGUUUAUUUUAGACGUCCAAAAUCAUUGAUUAAUGGUGCAUUUCAUUUGAUUUCUAUGAUUUGAACUGUUACCUUUGCUUCUUUGUCAGGUGUAGCUUUGUGGAUGAUCUAAGACAAGAGUAUGAAAUAAGAUAAUUUUGUUUGUCAAUGUAUUUAACAUAUAUCUGUUUUGUAACUUGGUAUACUGCAUCAUGUAGGUAAGCUUAUGUCGGUUGCUUCUUUGUAAGGCAUUACUUUAUGGAUGUUCUAAGAUGAAAGGGAGCAUGAAAGAGAUAUUUGUUAUGUCUAAUAGUGUAUUUGACAUAUUUAUGUCUUGUAACUUGGUUUGCUGCAUCAUGUAGGUAGGUUAUGUAGGUUAUAGAAAGUGAUUUGUAUAAUGCAUUGAUCUGGUAAAGGUAUGGUUUUAGUUCUAGGCAAUAACAAUAAAACAUAUUUAUUGACACUUAUCAUUAUUGGUGAAAAUGUGGUUUAAUUCAUAUUUUGUUUGCUUCAAUUAGGAAGUGUGGCAAUCAAUGGGAAAUCAUAACUUGUCUUUGGAGUAUUAUUGGAAUGAUCUUUCUUAUAGGGAGAAUCUGGAAGUGACUGUUUGUGUUCUUCAGAGUAUGGGUUUCUUAUCUCUUGAAGUGGGCUUCAUACUUGGUAGAAAAGUUUACUCCAAGCUUCUUGUAUAUUGACCCUUUUGGUGGUGAUUUUGAACUUCAGGUUUAUAGUAAGCAAUGUGGCAGAAGUAGUCUUGUGGAACUUUGCUCUUUGUCAGUAUUUGCCAAAGGGGUUUUCUAUGACUAGCCAAAAUUUUCUUUCACCUCAACUAGUUGUCUUUUGUAUUUUGAUACAUUCGCUGUUGUUUGUAUGUUGUUACUUCAGGAAUGAUUUUAGAUGGAAUGAUAUCUUAUACUGCUGCAAAGUGCAUUAAUGAUUGAGUAA